CUCAGGACGAACGCUGGCGGCGUGCCUAAUACAUGCAAGUCGAACGAACUCUGGUAUUGAUUGGUGCUUGCAUCAUGAUUUACAUUUGAGUGAGUGGCGAACUGGUGAGUAACACGUGGGAAACCUGCCCAGAAGCGGGGGAUAACACCUGGAAACAGAUGCUAAUACCGCAUAACAACUUGGACCGCAUGGUCCGAGCUUGAAAGAUGGCUUCGGCUAUCACUUUUGGAUGGUCCCGCGGCGUAUUAGCUAGAUGGUGGGGUAACGGCUCACCAUGGCAAUGAUACGUAGCCGACCUGAGAGGGUAAUCGGCCACAUUGGGACUGAGACACGGCCCAAACUCCUACGGGAGGCAGCAGUAGGGAAUCUUCCACAAUGGACGAAAGUCUGAUGGAGCAACGCCGCGUGAGUGAAGAAGGGUUUCGGCUCGUAAAACUCUGUUGUUAAAGAAGAACAUAUCUGAGAGUAACUGUUCAGGUAUUGACGGUAUUUAACCAGAAAGCCACGGCUAACUACGUGCCAGCAGCCGCGGUAAUACGUAGGUGGCAAGCGUUGUCCGGAUUUAUUGGGCGUAAAGCGAGCGCAGGCGGUUUUUUAAGUCUGAUGCUCGAAAGCCUUCGGCUCAACCGAAGAAGUGCAUCGGAAACUGGGAAACUUGAGUGCAGAAGAGGACAGUGGAACUCCAUGUGUAGCGGUGAAAUGCGUAGAUAUAUGGAAGAACACCAGUGGCGAAGGCGGCUGUCUGGUCUGUAACUGACGCUGAGGCUCGAAAGUAUGGGUAGCAAACAGGAUUAGAUACCCUGGUAGUCCAUACCGUAAACGAUGAAUGCUAAGUGUUGGAGGGUUUCCGCCCUUCAGUGCUGCAGCUAACGCAUUAAGCAUUCCGCCUGGGGAGUACGGCCGCAAGGCUGAAACUCAAAGGAAUUGACGGGGGCCCGCACAAGCGGUGGAGCAUGUGGUUUAAUUCGAAGCUACGCGAAGAACCUUACCAGGUCUUGACAUACUAUGCAAAUCUAAGAGAUUAGACGUUCCCUUCGGGGACAUGGAUACAGGUGGUGCAUGGUUGUCGUCAGCUCGUGUCGUGAGAUGUUGGGUUAAGUCCCGCAACGAGCGCAACCCUUAUUAUCAGUUGCCAGCAUUAAGUUGGGCACUCUGGUGAGACUGCCGGUGACAAACCGGAGGAAGGUGGGGAUGACGUCAAAUCAUCAUGCCCCUUAUGACCUGGGCUACACACGUGCUACAAUGGAUGGUACAACGAGUUGCGAACUCGCGAGAGUAAGCUAAUCUCUUAAAGCCAUUCUCAGUUCGGAUUGUAGGCUGCAACUCGCCUACAUGAAGUCGGAAUCGCUAGUAAUCGCGGAUCAGCAUGCCCGGGUGGAAUACGUUCCCGGGCCUUGUACACACCGCCCGUCACACCAUGAGAGUUUGUAACACCCAAAGUCGGUGGGGUAACCUUUUAGGAACCAGCCGCCUAAGGUGGGACAGAUGAUUAGGGUGAAGUCUA
rnacentral:rRNA from 1 species